UUGUUUCUUUCAACUUAUCUUCAUAGAUCAAUGACUGCCCAAUUAGAUCAUGUGAAGAAAUUUCCAAAGAGAUUUUCAACUUGGAUGGAAGUCGUCUUUAUCAUCAAUGCAACUUGCUUCAAGACAUUUGCAUUUAUUUAUUCUCUAGGAUUGCUUGAGAGCUUGGAAAACUAAAAGAAACAUUUCCUUUAAAAAGUUAUUUUCCAAUGAAGUAUUUUCGAGAGUGUAAAAAACAGAAAGAGAGACAAGAAAAUUCUCACCCAACGCACUUUUUUUGUUUUUUGGUUGUUUCAGAGAAUCCUAUUAGCAAACAUCAAAAGAAGGUCCAUCACAGAGUGCGUACACGCACAGCAACCUGUAGAGCAUUACCACAAAAAUUGGGAGUGGACUAGGCGUGCCCCAGCCUCACCAAAGAUGGUGUGGCCCUGACCAUGGGGCCCACCUUGAUAUAUGUAUUUUGUAUCCAUGCCCUCCCUCUGUUUUACCAUAUCAUUUUAGAGCAUGAUCCCAAAUGAAGCAGAUCCAAUUCUCAGGUGGACUGCACUGUAGGAAAUAGUGGUAAUUGACCAUCAAUGGACAACAAAAGCUUUGGAUCAAGUUGAUAUUUGUUUUUUUUUUUCCUUCAUCUAGGUUUGUGUGACCUUAUCAACAGGUUAGAUGGCAAAUAAACAUUACCAAAACAUGAUGGUAGGCCCUAAGAAGUUUUUAAUGAUAAGGCAUUCAGUUCACCACUGCUUUCUUAGUAUGGUCCACCUGAGAUUUGGAUUUUCUUCAUCUUUGAGGUCACGUCCUAAAAUGAUCUAGUAAAAUGGAUUGAUUGGCAUAAAUAUAGAAUACAUGCAUGGUGGGCCCCAUGAUAUGGGCUACACUUUCUUGGGUGAUGCCAAGGCGCACCUAGUCCGCUCUCCUAAAAAUCAUGCUCACAGAAGAAAUUGGUGGCCAUGAAUGAAUAGUGGAAAAAUGGGAAAUUGGUCAAUUGUCCAAACUAGAAGGACAAAAUUAAGUAGCUAACACAAGGGCAGUGAAUUGGCUGUUCUCCAUCCAAGAAUGGGCCAAUAGGUUUGAAUGGUCUUGGUUGAAAUGCAUGCAUGCUAUGUGUACUCUAGAUGGGUGCUACCAUUUAUAGUAGCCAAGUAAUAACUAAUGUUUGUGUAAUUUAUAAUUUCAUUAAUCUUAUACAAAUAGUUGCAGAUGAAGAAAGAUUUACUGGAAUAAAUUUAUCAGGCCCAUGGAGAAAGGUAAAUUUUGGAAUUGUACUUAUAUAUUCUUACUCUAACAAUUUUAGGCUUACAAUUCUUUCUUUUUUGAUUUGUUUACAAGUGAAAGGCUUAAUCUGAACUAGCCAAUAUGUGGACCCGACUUUAGAUAUGGUACAUCACAAUCAGAUUAGUUUGACAUCAUUAUUUCUUAUUAAUGGACACUCUUGGCUUGGAAAGCAAGGUUGCGUGCUAGGGCCAUCAAACAAUCCCCACUUCAAUUGAUGAGCUUUUCCAUGUUGAAUUUAAUAGUGUGGAUUUACAGGCAUUGUAGGGUUGUAAAUUAUAGUCAAAAGGUUUGGAUUCUAAUGCAUUUCAAUUACAAGCAACCAAACACAAUUAAGGAUUCAUAAUCACAUUGAUUUCAAUGUAAUUGUAAUUUAGAUUCCAAUGCAUUUCAGAUAAAAGUUCCCAAACAGGCAAUCAAACACACUCAAAUACAAGGUGCCAACCAUCCCAAGUGUCUUGAUCCAUCAAUACCUUUUAGCUUAGAAAUUUUAGUGUAUAGUGAGAUUAGUCUUGGACAAGGCAUGGUAAUGAUAAUUAGUGAAAUUAGUCU